rnacentral:rRNA from 1 species
GAGUUUGAUCCUGGCUCAGGACGAACGCUGGCGGCGUGCCUAAUACAUGCAAGUAGAACGCUGAAGGAGGAGCUUGCUUCUCUGGAUGAGUUGCGAACGGGUGAGUAACGCGUAGGUAACCUGCCUGGUAGCGGGGAUAACUAUUGGAACGAUAGCUAAUACCGCAUAAGAGUGGAUGUUGCAUGACAUUUGCUUAAAAGGUGCACUUGCAUCACUACCAGAUGGACCUGCGUUGUAUUAGCUAGUUGGUGGGGUAAGGGCUCACCAAGGCGACGAUACAUAGCCGACCUGAGAGGGUGAUCGGCCACACUGGGACUGAGACACGGCCCAGACUCCUACGGGAGGCAGCAGUAGGGAAUCUUCGGCAAUGGACGGAAGUCUGACCGAGCAACGCCGCGUGAGUGAAGAAGGUUUUCGGAUCGUAAAGCUCUGUUGUAAGAGAAGAACGAGUGUGAGAGUGGAAAGUUCACACUGUGACGGUAUCUUACCAGAAAGGGACGGCUAACUACGUGCCAGCAGCCGCGGUAAUACGUAGGUCCCGAGCGUUGUCCGGAUUUAUUGGGCGUAAAGCGAGCGCAGGCGGUUAGAUAAGUCUGAAGUUAAAGGCUGUGGCUUAACCAUAGUAGGCUUUGGAAACUGUUUAACUUGAGUGCAAGAGGGGAGAGUGGAAUUCCAUGUGUAGCGGUGAAAUGCGUAGAUAUAUGGAGGAACACCGGUGGCGAAAGCGGCUCUCUGGCUUGUAACUGACGCUGAGGCUCGAAAGCGUGGGGAGCAAACAGGAUUAGAUACCCUGGUAGUCCACGCUGUAAACGAUGAGUGCUAGGUGUUAGACCCUUUCCGGGGUUUAGUGCCGUAGCUAACGCAUUAAGCACUCCGCCUGGGGAGUACGACCGCAAGGUUGAAACUCAAAGGAAUUGACGGGGGCCCGCACAAGCGGUGGAGCAUGUGGUUUAACUCGAAGCAACGCGAAGAACCUUACCAGGUCUUGACAUCCCUCUGACCGCUCUAGAGAUAGAGUUUUCCUUCGGGACAGAGGUGACAGGUGGUGCAUGGUUGUCGUCAGCUCGUGUCGUGAGAUGUUGGGUUAAGUCCCGCAACGAGCGCAACCCCUAUUGUUAGUUGCCAUCAUUUAGUUGGGCACUCUAGCGAGACUGCCGGUAAUAAACCGGAGGAAGGUGGGGAUGACGUCAAAUCAUCAUGCCCCUUAUGACCUGGGCUACACACGUGCUACAAUGGCUGGUACAACGAGUCGCAAGCCGGUGACGGCAAGCUAAUCUCUUAAAGCCAGUCUCAGUUCGGAUUGUAGGCUGCAACUCGCCUACAUGAAGUCGGAAUCGCUAGUAAUCGCGGAUCAGCACGCCGCGGUGAAUACGUUCCCGGGCCUUGUACACACCGCCCGUCACACCACGAGAGUUUGUAACACCCGAAGUCGGUGAGGUAACCGUAAGGAGCCAGCCGCCUAAGGUGGGAUAGAUGAUUGGGGUGAAGUCGUAACAAGGUAGCCGUAUCGGAAGGUGCGGCUGGAUCACC